rnacentral:ncRNA from 1 species
CGGGGUAACUGGGGGAGCCCGUACGGGGCUGAGAGGAGGUCCCACGCCUCGACCCCAGAACCUGAUCUGGGUUAUGCCAGCGGAGGAAAGGUUACCCAUGCGAACG